rnacentral:rRNA from 1 species
AUUGAACGCUAGCGGCAGGCUUAACACAUGCAAGUCGAGCGGAGGUGAGGUGCUUGCACCUUAUCUUAGCGGCGGACGGGUGAGUAAUGCUUAGGAAUCUGCCAUUUAGUGGGGGACAACAUUCCGAAAGGAAUGCUAAUACCGCAUACGUCCUACGGGAGAAAGCAGGGGAUCUUCGGACCUUGCGCUAAAUGAUGAGCCUAAGUCGGAUUAGGUAGUUGGUGGGGUAAAGGCCUACCAAGGCGACGAUCUGUAGCGGGUCUGAGAGGAUGAUCCGCCACACUGGGACUGAGACACGGCCCAGACUCCUACGGGAGGCAGCAGUGGGGAAUAUUGGACAAUGGGCGGAAGCCUGAUCCAGCCAUGCCGCGUGUGUGAAGAAGGCCUUUUGGUUGUAAAGCACUUUAAGCGAGGAGGAGGCUACUAGUAUUAAUACUACUGGAUAGUGGACGUUACUCGCAGAAUAAGCACCGGCUAACUCUGUGCCAGCAGCCGCCGUAAAAC